UACGGGGGGAGCAAGCGUUGUUCGGAUUUACUGGGCGUAAAGGGCGCGUAGGCGGCCUCCGCAAGUCGACUGUGAAAUCUCUGGGCUUAACCCAGAACGGUCAGCCGAUACUGCGGGGCUAGAGUGCAGAAGGGGCAACUGGAAUUCUCGGUGUAGCGGUGAAAUGCGUAGAUAUCGAGAGGAACACCUGCGGCGAAGGCGGGUUGCUGGGCUGACACUGACGCUGAGGCGCGAAAGCUAGGGGAGCGAACGCG
rnacentral:rRNA from 1 species